CGUCCAUCUCCUCCUCAGGCUCCUGUGCGCCGCCGCCUUCACCUCUUGCGCGCCGCCGCCCCUACUCCCGCCAGCCGUCGUCCACCACGGCCAUCGCUGGCACCCCCUGCGCCCGGCGGCGCCGUCCGCGUGCUUUACCGCCGCUCCCCCACGCGGAGGCGCGCGCGUCGACGCCCGCCGCCGCCCCCUAUGUCCGCCGCCAUUCCCGGCAUCCUCUGUUGCCGCCUUGCCGCGGCCAGGCCACUGUUGUCUCUUGCGGCCGCCUCCGCCCUCGCGCGCUGCGGCAGCGGCUCGGCUGCCGUUGUCCCCUGGCGGCGGUCGCCGCCCUUCCGCCGCUGCUACCACUGCAAGGACGCUGCCGUCCUCGCUUCCGCGGCCGCCGCCGCACGUCGCCAUCACCCGUGCCCCUGCACGACGCCGUCCGCUUGCUCCGCCGCCGCGCAUCCGCUGCCCACCGCUGUCCCGUGCGCCGCCCUCGAUGCUGCUACCGUCGUCGGAGAAGAGGAAAGCAACCCAGAAAUUAAAAUUUGAAAUGUUGAUUUUUAUUUUGAUAAAUGUUGAAUAUAUUCUUUUUGGAUGUUGAAAUAGGACAUGAAAAAUGUUGAAUUUAAUAUUUUUCUAUGAAAUGUUGAUUGUUGGUUUCGAAAAUGUUGAAUCAACUAAUUUUAGAUGUUGAACUAAUUUUAGAAAAAUGUUGAAUGUAAUAGGUUGAAAUGUCGAAUUAUAUGAUUUUAAUUGGGCCUGAUGGAGUUUUAAAGCUACCGGACUUAUCUGGCUUCCGCAAGCCAUGUAGGAGCCCAAUAACCAACCAGCUCCCCAGUCAACCUCGUCCCUGUUUCGCGUCGGAAAAUCUCCGGCACUUCGCCCAGGCCUUCCUUACUUCCACACGCAUGCUGCCAGUGCUACGCUGGUGCACGCUGCUUGCUGCUGCAUGGUUCUUGGGUUGGGAACGGUAAUGCUUCUAUUUAAGGUUUAAAAGAGAAGUUCCAACGGAGUGGUUCUUCCAUCGACCCACAGGCAGUCUUCCGAGGGAUCGUCAGCCUAGUAUGGAGUGUCUGGGUCGAAACCAUCAUCUUCCUAUUAUCUUAUAAUGAUCUUUAUCAUCUAUGUUAUGAUAUCAUGUCUCUCAAACAUUUGUGGAUUACGCGGGUCACGGCACCCGUGGUGCCAGUGGCAAGAAAAUUGACCUCCUCCUCCGAUGCAUCCCGCCCUCUUGGAAAUCCUUAGAAGGUUUGAGAACACCCGACAAGCUCAAAAUCAAGUCCUUCAAGCUCUUGUCCAAAACAUGGCCGGCCAAGGGCAGGGUGGCGGUGGUGGAGACCAUCAACUCUGCGGCUACCCCACAUUCCCUGUUACCUAUCCUCCUAUCUUUGGACGCCAACUUUUGGCUUCGCAGCAUGGAUCAAAAGUUUGGGCUUUUUGAAAGAAAUGAUCAAGAGAAGGUUGAGUUGAUGCCGAGGGAACAUGGUGGCAAGGUUAUUUAGCUCAAGUUGGAGAAGGUCAUCAAGUGACUUGCA